GGGUUUUUGUUUUGAAAUUGCAUCUUCAGCCAAGAAUCAUACUGUUCUUGUGGUUAAAUGGUUUGCCCAAGGUCAUAAGAAUAGGUUCAACUCAGAAUCUUUGAAAGUCAUUUCAAUUUCCUGAACAAUUCCUGCAUGUGAAUUCUGCUGUGCACCUUUGAAUAAGAAAAGAAAGAGCAUAUGCAGGCCUAUUUUUAAAAUACAGGAGAAGCUGCAUAAUGAUGGUUGCAGAAUUCAACCUCAGAGGAGAGUCGAGCCCUUCCUGGGAGGGUUGAAUUCUUUUCGUUUGCAUUAUUCAGUGGAAAGAUACAAAGUGGCAUAAUGAUGGGAAUAAGUUAUCUUUUAUCAGAUCUGACUUUAAAAUUCAGGUUAUGUAAAACA
rnacentral:lncRNA from 1 species